GAUGAACGCUGGCGGCGUGCCUAAUACAUGCAAGUCGAGCGAACAGACGAGGAGCUUGCUCCUCUGACGUUAGCGGCGGACGGGUGAGUAACACGUGGAUAACCUACCUAUAAGACUGGGAUAACUUCGGGAAACCGGAGCUAAUACCGGAUAAUAUAUUGAACCGCAUGGUUCAAUAGUGAAAGACGGUUUUGCUGUCACUUAUAGAUGGAUCCGCGCCGCAUUAGCUAGUUGGUAAGGUAACGGCUUACCAAGGCAACGAUGCGUAGCCGACCUGAGAGGGUGAUCGGCCACACUGGAACUGAGACACGGUCCAGACUCCUACGGGAGGCAGCAGUAGGGAAUCUUGCACAAUGGGCGAAAGCCUGACGCAGCAACGCCGCGUGAGUGAUGAAGGUCUUCGGAUCGUAAAGCUCUGUUAUUAGGAAAGAACAAAUGUGUAAGUAACUAUGCACGUCUUGACGGUACCUAAUCAGAAAGCCACGGCUAACUACGUG
rnacentral:rRNA from 1 species